rnacentral:rRNA from 1 species
AAAUAUCUAAUAAAAUUAAAUAAUUCAGUUACCAUAGGGAUAACAGCAUAAUAACUUUUUAAAGAUCUUAUUAAAAAAGUAGAUUAUGACCUCGAUGUUGAAUUAAUAACCUAAUUAAAGCAAAAAUUAAAACAGGAAGUCUGUUCGACUUUUAAAAAAUUACAUGAUUUGAGUUCAGACCGGUGCAAGCCAGGUCGGUUUCUAUCUUCUAAAUAAUUUUUUACAGUACGAAAGGACCUAAAAAUAUAAUU